UUUUCAAGUUUUUUUUUUACAAAUAAUUGUUAUCUUAAAAAAAAAACAAUACCUACUUUUGUGCGCAAAACCCAAUUAUUUUAAAAGGUGCUCCAGGUGGAGAAAAUUCUAAUUGUUUUAAUUAACACCUACAUACCUACAUUAAUUUGGUGUUUUAUUAAACAUUACUGCUUAAAAUUAAAGGUGCUCCAGAGUAAAAAUCGAUCGAAUUCGAUUCGAAACUAAAAACCCGACCAUCCAAUCAGACUUUUUAAAGUCUAAAAGUGCUCUUUUUGCUAAGCCGCACAAUAUCGCCCAAAUUCAGAAAAAAAAAACUAUUUGACUCGCAGCCUGAGCAAACAAAAAAAAAAAUCACCCCCAAAAUCUCCAUCUUGGAACCUUUUUAUUUAAAUGUGUAAAAAAAGUACAUAUUUUUAUUUUUUUUUGAUCCUGUUUAAAAAUCCUGCAAGGACUAAAUAAAAUUAACAGCAAAAAAAAAAAUACAACACACACUCUCAACUCAACAAUCAAAAUCAUCCAAACUUUCAUCCUCGGAAAACAUCCAGGAAAACAUCUAAAAUUGCACUUAUAACCUAAAUAAGCAAUAUCCAGGAAAAACAUAUAAAAUCAUCUUCUACCUGCGCCUUCAUCUCAUCACGUUUCAAAAAAAAAAAUCAUCACAAAACCUAUAAAAGCUAAGUACCUAAAAAUCUUUCUUUCAAGUAAAAAGAUAAAAAAAAAAAAAGUUUUAUAAAUCUUAAAUUAUUGCAUAUCUACUAUUUGACCUUGUACAUUCAAUUCGUUCAAAUUUCUUUUUUCUAUUUUACCCUAUUUUAGUCUAGCUUUAAAAUAAAUAAGCAAAAUCAUAACAAAACAACAACAAAAACUCAAUCCUGCGAUGGUGUGCACAUUAUCAGGAGGAAAUGACCAAAUGUGAAUUAUAAACAACGAAGAACAAAAAUACAAUUCACCACUGUAACACAUAAAAAUAUGCAAAAUUGCAAAACAAUUUGUGGGGUAAGUGAGAAUAUUAAUUUAUUGAUUGAAAAUUUGAACGAACGAAUAUAAUUUAAUUUAAUUUAAAUAAUUUUUAAUUGUUGCAAAUUUAAACAUAAAAGAUAAAGAUAUUUGAAAAGUGAAAACAAGAAAGAUACGAAAGAUAAGAAUAAUAAGAUUAAAGAGAAAGAUAGAAAAAAAUAUAUAUAGAGAAAAAGAAAGAAAAAAAGUACACUGAAACUUUCUAAUUGAUAAUUUUUUUUGUUGACAUUGCUAAGGAAGGUGUCAUUGUGAUUUUUUUUAUUAACUUUUUUUUGUGAUGAUUAAUGAAUUAAUAUUGAAUUCAUAUUAAUUUGAAAUUUAACUAUAAUUAUUUUAUAAUCAAAUUAUAUUUUUUUAUAAAAAAAUUUGAACAUUUAUACAUUUUUCUUUAUUAUCAUUUUGGCUAUAAGUGAUUUGUCGAAACAUUUCGUAUUAGGUUCUAUUGAUAUUUUUUUUUAAAUUUUAAUAAAAUUUGUUGUACACUUCAAUUAAGAAAAAAACAUCUUUUAUCUUUACUGAGGUUACUUACAUAUGGAUGGGUUAAUUUUAUUCUGCAUCGAAUUUAGUCAUUUUUUUUUUUGUUGUGAAUUUGAUAAGAUGACUUUUGCUAUAAAUUUUUUAUUUUGGCUUUUUGAAGUUGAAACCAUGAUUAUGGUUUAGGUUUUUUUUUUCAGGUGGAUGUGGCUCUCACAAGAGUGAGCUAUAAGGUGAUAACGGCAAAAUGAGAACUUAGUUUAUUUUUUUUGUUUUAUUU